ensembl:misc_RNA Y_RNA Y RNA
GGCUGGUCUGAAGGUAGUCAGUUAUCUUAAUUGACUGUUCACAGUCAGUUACAGGUUGAAUUUCUUGUUCUACUCUUUCCCCUUUUCUUAAUAGGACACUUGACUAGUCUUUA